rnacentral:rRNA from 1 species
GACGUAGGGGGCGAGCGUUGUCCGGAUUUACUGGGCGUAAAGCGCACGCAGGCGGAUCUUUAAGUCAGGGGUGAAAUCCUGGAGCUCAACUCCAGAACUGCCUUUGAUACUGAGGACCUUGAGUUCGGGAGAGGUGAGUGGAACUGCGAGUGUAGAGGUGAAAUUCGUAGAUAUUCGCAAGAACACCAGUGGCGAAGGCGGCUCACUGGCCCGAUACUGACGCUGAGGUGCGAAAGCCAGGGGAGCAAACGGG